AGCAGUGACUGCAGGUCUCUCCUUGCAGCCGCGGUACGACAGCGGAGCACAGGCAGCGGUGGUCGGAGUCAUGGCAGGACAGGCCUUAGGAAGUUCCUUCCCCGCUUUGACCGAGUGCUGGUGGAGAGGAGCCG